rnacentral:hammerhead_ribozyme from 1 species
AUCCAGAUGACGAGUUCAAAAUUUGACGAAAUGCGCUUCCUGGAU